rnacentral:rRNA from 1 species
UACGUAGGGUGCAGGCGUUAAUCGGAAUUACUGGGCGUAAAGCGUGCGCAGGCGGUUUGCUAAGGCAGGUGUGAAAUCCCCGGGCUUAACCUGGGAACUGCGCUUGUUACUGGCAAGCUAGAGUGUGGCAGAGGGGGGUGGAAUUCCAGGUGUAGCAGUGAAAUGCGUAGAUAUCUGGAGGAACACCGAUGGCGAAGGCAGCCCCCUGGGCUAACACUGACGCUCAUGCACGAAAGCGUGGGGAGCAAACAGG